rnacentral:rRNA from 1 species
GCCUAUGACCAAGCCAUUCUAAGUGCGCCUGAUCUCGUCAGAUUUUGGAAGCUGAGCAAGGGGUGCGCCUUUGUAGUGCUGGGAUGGACGACUGCCAUGCACAAACAGGUUGCUAUAGGCG